rnacentral:rRNA from 1 species
AUUGAACGCUGGCGGCAGGCCUAACACAUGCAAGUCGAGCGAGUGGCGGACGGGUGAGUAAUGUAUGGGGACUGCCCGAUCGAGGGGGAUAACUACUGGAAACGGUUGCUAAUACCGCAUACUGCCGGAUAACCCAUAUGGGAUUAGCUAGUAGGUAAGGUAAUGGCUUACCUAGGCGACGAUCCCUAGCUGGUCUGAGAGGAUGAUCAGCCACACUGGGACUGAGACACGGCCCAGACUCCUACGGAGGCAGCAGUGGGGAAUAUUGCACAAUGGGCGCAAGCCUGAUGCAGCCAUGCCGCGUGUAGGAAGAAGGCCCUAGGUUUGUAAAGUACUUUCAGUCGGGAGGCGUUACCGACAGAAGAAGCACCGGCUAACUCCGUGCCAGCAGCCGCGGUAAUUC